GGGAUUUUGGUCUAGUGGCAUGAUACCUCCUUUGGGUGAACCAAGACGGCGGUUCAACCCGUGUCUGCACUCAAGCGUGGAGGUGGUCGGGGGUUCGAUUCCCCCAAGUCCCC
rnacentral:tRNA from 1 species